ACGAUUAGCUUAGCUUCCCUUGGCAAAUAAAUCUUUCGCCUUUCACUAAAGAUAUCCGUGGCGAUGAGCACUCUAAUGAUUCGAUAAUCAAUUGUUCAUUAAAAAAUCAUUUUUUUC
rnacentral:snRNA from 1 species